ensembl:lncRNA
GUUACACCUGUGCCAGGCUGGGCUCCUCCUGCACCUCCAGGAACUCCAGCUCCUGCUGCAGCUUCUGAGGGGGAGAAAUACACCUGGGUUACACCUGGGUUACACCUGAGAGACCUGAGUUACACCUGGGUUACACCUGGGUUACACCUGAGAUACACCUGGGUUACACCUGGGUUACACCUGAGAUACACUUGAGAUACACCUGGGUUACACCUGGGUUACACCUGGGUUACACCUGGGAUACACCUGAGAUAUCCCUGAACCACCUGAGAUACUCCUGAGAUACACCUGGGUUACACCUGAGAUACUCCUGAGUUACACCUGGGAUACACCUGAGAUACACCUGGGCCAGGGGACACUGUCACACACCUGUCACACCUGUCACACAUGUCACAUACAUGUCACACACGUCUCACACACGUGUCCCACACAUGUCCCACAUGUCACACGCAUCACACACCUGUCACACACAUGUCACACACCUGUCACACCUGUCACACACCUGUCACACCUGUCACACAUGUCCCACACGUGUCACACACAUGUCCAGGUGUGUCUCUCAUCUUGUACCUGCUGUGCAGACCCUGUAACCCCUCACACGUGUGUCACAUGUCCCAGGUGUGUCACACACGUGUCUCACCUUGUAGCGGCUGUACAGAUCCUCCAGGUCCUCACACAUGUCACACAGAUGUCACACACAUGUGUUCUCACCUUGUACCGGCUGUACAGAUCCUCCAGGUCCCUGUCACACACCUGUCACACACACGUGUCACACACAUGUCACACACACGUGUCUCACCUUGUACCAGCUGUACAGAUCCUCCAGGUCCCUGUAACCUCUCACACAUGUCCCAGGUGUGUCACACACGUGUCCCACGCGUGUCACUCACCUUGUACCGGCUGUACAGAUCCUCCAGGUCCUCACACCUGUCACACACAUGUCUCACCUGUCACACACGUGUCAUACACGUCACACACCUGUCACACACCUGUCACACAUGUCCCAGGUGUGUCACACACACCUGUCACACGCGUGUCUCUCACCUUGUACCUGCUGUACAGAUCCUCCAGGUCCCUGUAACCCCUCACACGUGUGUCACAUGUCCCAAGUGUGUCACACACCUGUCCCACACAUGUUCUCACCUUGUACCGGCUGUACAGAUCCUCCAGGUCCUCACACCUGUCACACACGUGUCACACACCUGUCACACACCUGUCUCUCACCUUGUACCGGCUGUACAGGUCCUCCAGGUCCCUGUAACCCCUCACACCUGUCACACACGUGUCACACACGUGUCCCACGUGUCUCUCACCUUGUACCGGCUGUACAGAUCCUCCAGGUCCCUGUCACACACGUGUCACACACAUGUCACACGUGUCUCUCACCUUGUACCGGCUGUACAGAUCCUCCAGGUCCCUGUAACCCCUCACACGUGUGUCACACAUGUCCCAGGUGUGUCACACAUCUGUCACACACUUGUCACACAUGUGUCAUACACAUCACACACCUGUCACACGUGUGUCACACACGUGUCACACGUGUGUCUCUCACCUUGUACCGGCUGUACAGAUCCUCCAGGUCCCUGUAACCCCUCACACGUGUCACACACAUGUCACACACACCUGUCACAC